rnacentral:misc_RNA from 1 species
GGAAGUAAAAGUCGAAACAAGGUCUCCGUUGGUGAACCAGCGGAGGGAUCAUUACCGAGUUUACAACUCCCAAACCCAAUGUGAACGUUACCAAACUGUUGCCUCGGCGGGGUCACGCCCCGGGUGCGUCGCAGCCCCGGAACCAGGCGCCCGCCGGAGGAACCAACCAAACUCUUUCUGUAGUCCCCUCGCGGACGUUAUUUCUUACAGCUCUGAGCAAAAAUUCAAAAUGAAUCAAAACUUUCAACAACGGAUCUCUUGGUUCUG